rnacentral:rRNA from 1 species
UAGGGCGGGACACGUGGUAUCCUGUCUGAAUAUGGGGGGACCAUCCUCCAAGGCUAAAUACUCCUGACUGACCGAUAGUGAACCAGUACCGUGAGGGAAAGGCGAAAAGAACCCCGGCGAGGGGAGUGAAAAAGAACCUGAAACCGUGUACGUACAAGCAGUGGGAGCACGCUUAGGCGUGUGACUGCGUACCUUUUGUAUAAUGGGUCAGCGACUUAUAUUCUGUAGCAAGGUUAACCGAAUAGGGGAGCCGAAGGGAAACCGAGUCUUAACUGGGCGUUAAGUUGCAGGGUAUAGACCCGAAACCCGGUGAUCUAGCCAUGGGCAGGUUGAAGGUUGGGUAACACUAACUGGAGGACCGAACCGACUAAUGUUGAAAAAUUAGCGGAUGACUUGUGGCUGGGGGUGAAAGGCCAAUCAAACCGGGAGAUAGCUGGUUCUCCCCGAAAGCUAUUUAGGUAGCGCCUCGUGAAUUCAUCUCCGGGGGUAGAGCACUGUUUCGGCAAGGGGGUCAUCCCGACUUACCAACCCGAUGCAAACUGCGAAUACCGGAGAAUGUUAUCACGGGAGACACACGGCGGGUGCUAACGUCCGUCGUGAAGAGGGAAACAACCCAGACCGCCAGCUAAGGUCCCAAAGUCAUGGUUAAGUGGGAAACGAUGUGGGAAGGCCCAGACAGCCAGGAUGUUGGCUUAGAAGCAGCCAUCAUUUAAAGAAAGCGUAAUAGCUCACUGGUCGAGUCGGCCUGCGCGGAAGAUGUAACGGGGCUAAACCAUGCACCGAAGCUGCGGCAGCGACGCUUAUGCGUUGUUGGGUAGGGGAGCGUUCUGUAAGCCUGUGAAGGUGUGCUGUGAGGCAUGCUGGAGGUAUCAGAAGUGCGAAUGCUGACAUAAGUAACGAUAAAGCGGGUGAAAAGCCCGCUCGCCGGAAGACCAAGGGUUCCUGUCCAACGUUAAUCGGGGCAGGGUGAGUCGACCCCUAAGGCGAGGCCGAAAGGCGUAGUCGAUGGGAAACAGGUUAAUAUUCCUGUACUUGGUGUUACUGCGAAGGGGGGACGGAGAAGGCUAUGUUGGCCGGGCGACGGUUGUCCCGGUUUAAGCGUGUAGGCUGGUUUUCCAGGCAAAUCCGGAAAAUCAAGGCUGAGGCGUGAUGACGAGGCACUACGGUGCUGAAGCAACAAAUGCCCUGCUUCCAGGAAAAGCCUCUAAGCAUCAGGUAACAUCAAAUCGUACCCCAAACCGACACAGGUGGUCAGGUAGAGAAUACCAAGGCGCUUGAGAGAACUCGGGUGAAGGAACUAGGCAAAAUGGUGCCGUAACUUCGGGAGAAGGCACGCUGAUAUGUAGGUGAAGUCCCUCGCGGAUGGAGCUGAAAUCAGUCGAAGAUACCAGCUGGCUGCAACUGUUUAUUAAAAACACAGCACUGUGCAAACACGAAAGUGGACGUAUACGGUGUGACGCCUGCCCGGUGCCGGAAGGUUAAUUGAUGGGGUCAGCGCAAGCGAAGCUCUUGAUCGAAGCCCCGGUAAACGGCGGCCGUAACUAUAACGGUCCUAAGGUAGCGAAAUUCCUUGUCGGGUAAGUUCCGACCUGCACGAAUGGCGUAAUGAUGGCCAGGCUGUCUCCACCCGAGACUCAGUGAAAUUGAACUCGCUGUGAAGAUGCAGUGUACCCGCGGCAAGACGGAAAGACCCCGUGAACCUUUACUAUAGCUUGACACUGAACAUUGAGCCUUGAUGUGUAGGAUAGGUGGGAGGCUUUGAAGUGUGGACGCCAGUCUGCAUGGAGCCGACCUUGAAAUACCACCCUUUAAUGUUUGAUGUUCUAACGUUGACCCGU